rnacentral:rRNA from 1 species
AUGGUACUGUCAGAUAAGCAUCGGCUAACUUCGUGCCAGCAGCCGCGGUAAUACGAAGGAUGCAAGCGUUAUCCGGAAUUAUGGGUUUAAAGGGUGCGUAGGCGGACUAAUAAGUCAGUGGUGAAAGCCUGCAGCUUAACUGCAGAAUUGCCGUUGAUACUGUUAGUCUUGAGUACAGUUGAGGUAGGCGGAAUGUGUCAUGUAGCGGUGAAAUGCUUAGAUAUGACACAGAACACCGAUUGCGAAGGCAGCUUGCUAAGCUGUAACUGACGCUGAGGCACGAAAGCGUGGGGAGCAAACAGGAUUAGAUACCCUGGUAGUCCACGCCCUAAACGAUGAUAACUCGCUGUUGGCGAUAUACUGUCAGCAGCCAAGCGAAAGCAUUAAGUUAUCCACCUGGGGAGUACGACCGCAAGGUUGAAACUCAAAGGAAUUGACGGGGGC